rnacentral:lncRNA from 1 species
UUUAAAAAAAUAGUUUUUCAUAUUUCAAAUUUAGACAUUGUCUUUAACUUUCUAUCAUAAAAGAUGGAAUUUGGCUCUUCCCCAUGCCCCCAAAACACAUAUACACAGUCCCACACCCCCACUGUCCCUGAACCCAGUUAUGUUGUUAAAAUCAAUUGUGGGAGUUUAUAUUACUUUGAUUGCAUAAUUAUUAUUUACAGUUGAAUCAUGUAAAGCAGACAUCACCAGCUUGAUUGAGGUUAGAGCUUAUUAUUUAUAUACAAAGAUGAAGCCAGGAAUUGUAUGUGUCAAUGCCAGAUUAUUAGUGGAAGAUUGGUACCAUUCAGAUAAAAGCUAAAGCUACCUGAAUCAAAUUAGGAAUAAAACCCAGGUCACCAAUGAGCCAGGAUUGGUGGAUCAAAGCUGGUUUAAUUUACAGGAGACUUUAAGGUAAAUUGGUUUUGUAUCUGAAGUCAUUUCAUACCUAGAGACUUAAGAUUAUAAGGAAAACAAAGUAAGUCACUUGUAAAAAUUGAAAGUGGUGAGGAAAUGACAAAUGCGGCAUAUGCAGCUGAGAUGAGUCAUUUGACAGUAGGAAUGAUUCUUGUAAACUAUUUUUUAAAUUAACUAGCUCUUGGUCCAGGAGCUGUGGCUCACGCCUGUAAUCCCAACACUUUGGGAGGCCGAGGCGGGCAGAUUACCUGAGGUCAGGAGUUCGAGGCCAGCCUGCCCAACAUGGUGAAACCCAGUUUGUACUAAAAAUACAAAAAUGAGCUGGGUGUUGUGGCACAUGCCAGUAAUCCCAGCUACUCUGGAGGCUGAGGCAAGAGAAUCACUUGAACCCGGAAGGCGGAGUGAGCUGAGAUCACGCCACUGCACCCCAACCUGGGCGACAGAGCAAGACUCCAUCUCAAAAAAAUAAUUAAUUAAUUAACUAGCUCUCUAAACGUUCAAUAAAACUUAUCCUGAGCCGCAUGUUGUGCCUGUGUGGUCUCACCCAAGGGAAGGUGAGCACAUUCAUAUUGGCUGGUGAAAAUCCAGGCAAUAUGUCUGUAUGGUUCUUAAAGAACUGAGAAACAGCAAGAAUACGCACAAUAUUUGUAAAUAACUUGAGCCUUUAUAAAAUGAUCCUUUUUUGGAAAAUACACAGAAAAAGUUGUGCGCAGGUUUACCUAGAAUGUCAAUUGGAAUGAAGACUGUGAUGGCUUAGCCAUCACAGGUCAUUCUUAUAGAAGCAGCAUUGUCUGUGAAAGGCUUUCAGGAUUCAUCCUUAGAAAGGGUUUAUUUUCCUCUCACUUUCUCCACUGGUGUAAGAUUACAGCUUUCCAGCGUCUCUUGGUGAGAAGGAAAUACAACUUGAUUCCUCUGUCUGAUAAAGUAGGCUUGGGGCUUU